rnacentral:rRNA from 1 species
GACGUAGGGUGCGAGCGUUGUCCAGAUUUAUUGGGCGUAAAGAGCUCGUAGGCGGCUCGUCGCGUCGACCGUGAAAACCCGCGGCUUAACUGCGGGCUUGCGGUUGAUACGGGCGGGCUAGAGUUCGGUAGGGGAGACUGGAAUUCCUGGUGUAGCGGUGAAAUGCGCAGAUAUCAGGAGGAACACCGGUGGCGAAGGCGGGUCUCUGGGCCGAUACUGACGCUGAGGAGCGAAAGCGUGGGGAGCGAACAGG